GGAGUUUCAGUUUUCUUAUCCUAAUGGUACGUCUGACGACGAUCAAGUCCAAUCCUUGUUGCUCUGUGUCUAAUGUCAGUAACAAUUAAUCCAGUAAUGAUAGAGCUACAAUUGUAGAGCUCUCUCGACUCAGUAUUUUGUGAGUGGCAAUCAGGCCGGGAAAUUCAAACUGUAUUUAUGCCACCACAAACUGGUGCCGAAACCCGGGAUUUGAUAAUUUAGAGCCAUGAGCUCCCCGGCUGUUACUUCGAGACUUUCUCCGAAGCAGAGAACUGACAAGAAGUUAUUGGACAGAAAACAUGCUGACCUGGAAAAGGACCUUGAGAAGUCAGAUGAAUUCUCAGCGUACCGAACAACUCCCAACGAUCAACUGGAAGACGCCAUAGCAAAGCUAAGUCCUUUUUUGAUUGAAUUUCGUACCUCUGUCUCUUCUUAUGGGAAGGUGUGUGAAUCAUUUGGGGAUAGUCUGUCAAACCCUGCGGAAGACGUUGAGGCUGCUGUUGACUGGCACCUAGACCAAUUUGUCCAACUUGAGAGACGAGUCCUCUCUUUGAAUGCUACCCUCUCGUACUUGGAGAGCAGACGCCCCUCAACUCAAAAUGUACAACAGCAAGUACCCUCGCAGGAUGCUGCCACAGCAGCACUCAUUAGCACCAUGGAAUCUUUGAUAAAGGUCCAGACCAGUCAGCAACAACAGCAAUCAGGUCCAAGUACCAGUACUAAUUCUAAGACCACAGCCAAUGUUUCGUUACCGAAACUUUCAUUGCCUACGUUUGAUGGGAAUGUCAUGAAGUAUGCUGAAUUCUCAGAUAUGUUCCGUUCUUGUGUUGAUAAUAACUCACUGUUAUCUAAUGCCGAAAAGCUCACGUAUCUCAAGUCUUGCCUCAGGGGGGAUGCACUAGACGCAGUGUCUGGUUUCCUAUGUACGGAUACAAACUACCAACCUGUUGUCGAUAUCUUACAAGAAAGAUUUGGUAAUACUGAACGGGUCAUUCAUGCUCGUUACACUGCACUCAUGGGUAUCCCUGCUUGUUCAAACAAAACCCAGUCCAUCAGGUCAUUCUACGACCAAGUUGAAGAGCAGUUACGCUCCUUGCAAGCAUGUGGACAGGAUAUCAACCAAAGUGUAUUUGUAUCGAUGAUAUUGUCAAAGCUUCCCCAGCAUGUUGUUCUCCAGUUGGAGUUGAAGAAAGUUAAAGUUCACUGGUCGGUGAAAGAUCUCCGCAAAGCAAUUCAGGAAUAUCUCAUGGCCAAAGAAGCAGCAGAGGCACAGUCCUCACUGGCCACACCAAAUCCGCCGAAACAUACGGAACACAAACCGAGAUCAACGGCAAAUCAGUCUGCUGCUGUUUUGUUAGGCAAUUCACGUCCCACCGAACGGCAACCACGGUGUCACUUUUGUCAAGGCAAACACUUUUCUGACGAAUGCAGUACAUACACGUCUGUCGAUAGUCGAAAAGCCAAGCUGAAUGACCAGUGUUUCCGGUGCCUCCGAAAGGGACACCCAGCGCGAGCGUGCUCUAUUUCUCGUCUUUGCUAUCAUUGCAGACAACCCCAUCACCGUAGCCUGUGUCCGCAAAAGUUUGCAACAAGCGCAUCCACUCUGAAUGCUGAUGCCGAGGCGUACGCUCCACAGCAUACUUUAAUAGCACUAGGCGAGCACACUUUCAUGCAGACGGCAGUCACUACAGCACAUCAUGGAACCGGACAGUGUGAAGUACGGAUUCUUUUUGACACUGGCGCAACUAGGUCAUUCAUCACAUCUAAGGCACGUGACAUUCUUAGCUCACCGACGAUCCGCAAGGACACCUUAGCGACAUCAGGCUUCGGUAGCUCCGACAGAAGAAUUCAGUGUCUAGAUGCCACGGAAGUACUUAUCAAGAUAGCAGAUGGAUCGAAAAUGCCACUGUCACUAAAUGUUGUACCGGUCAUUUCCAGCCCGAUUUUGAAAGUGCCGGUAGUCGCGAAGAACCGCCCUGAACUAGCAGGCUUCCGUCUAGCUGAACCGUUGUGUGAGUCAGAAGAACGUGUCAGCAUUGAUAUACUGAUAGGAGGAGAUUACUACUAUGACAUUCUCCUUAGUGACCGAGUAACCUUCUCCGAUGGACUCAUUCUCCUCAAUUCAAAGCUAGGCUACAUCCUCGCAGGCAAGUCAUCAGAGAAGUGCAGCGAGGCCCAAACCCUGUUCGUGGAUAGCGAAACGCCUGAUCCACUCCAGCGAUUUUGGGCUAUAGAAGACGACACAACCACAGUAAAUGCUUCAACUAGCGACACUGAAGCCAUGCAUGCUUUUGAAGAUAGUAUCACUCAAGACAACAACGGAAGGUAUGUCGUCAAGUGGCCUUGGCGCUCUAACUCGCCUCCACUACCGAACAACUUCGGUCUUGCAUACGGUCGCCUGAACUCACUACUCAACCGUCUCAGGCAGGAACCGUCGAAGCUUCGAGCCUACAAUGACAUCCUUGCGGAACAGCUAAAGCUAGGUGUAAUCGAGGAAGUCGACAGUCAAGGAAGCCAGUUUCUCACCCAUUACUUGCCGCAUCACUGCGUCGCAAAGGAUAGCACUACGACAAAGCUCCGUCUUGUAUACGACGCUUCCGCGAAGUCGUCUCCGAACAAUCCAUCACUAAAUGAAUGUCUUCACCGCGGUCCAGUACUGUUACCAGAUCUCGCCGGCGUUCUUUUGAGGUUCCGCCUUGAACCCAUCGCUGUCUCUAGUGAUGUAGAGAAAGCAUUUCUCCAACUUUCACUCGCUAACGAAGAUCGAGACGUCACGAGAUUCCUAUGGGUUCGAGAUCCUUUCCAGCCACCCGCUGGAGGAAACAUCAUCACGUAUCGCUUUUGUCGAGUACCAUUCGGAGUUAUCUCGAGCCCUUUCUUGCUCGGAGCUACCAUCCAACACCACCUUGAAUCAUCCGGUAGCCCAGAGGCAUCCAACAUCAUGCAGAAUACGUAUGUUGACAACGUCCUUCUUGGUGUAGACUCCGUCUCGACUGGUAUCAACCUCUACCAUCACGCCAAGUCAGUCUUCGCCGAUGCCUCCAUGAACCUCAGACAGUGGUCCUCUAACUCAGCAGCCCUCAUAGAGAGCAUCCCAGAAUCAGAUCGUGCGUCUGGCGAACACCAGAAGGUCCUUGGGCUAGAUUGGCACACUGUUACUGAUCACCUCAAAGUAGCAAACACAUCAGCGUCGGACACACUAGUCCGAACCAAGCGCGAGUUACUUCAGGCCGUAGCUCAGUUCUUCGAUCCACUUGGCAUCCAUUCGCCCAUCGUCGUGAAGGCCAAGCUACUCUUACAGGAAGUGUGGCGGCAGAAGCUCCAAUGGGACGAAGCACUCCCAGUUUCUAUUCUCCACACGUGGAAAACUCUCGCUGCAGAACUCGACGAUGCUACAAAUCACAGCAUCCCACGUCCAUGCUGCAUUCCAGAAGCCGACCAACACACACUUCAUGUCUUCUGCGAUGCUUCGCAAACUGCCUAUGCUGCAGUUGCAUACUUGUCAUCAUCGUCCGGAUCUGCUACUGAAUCGCACCUCAUUCUUAGUAGAUCUAAGUUAGCUCCGCUCAAGCCCUCUCCGAAGUUAACCAUCCCAAAGUUGGAACUCAUGGCAGCAGCACUUGGUGCUGAUCUCAUCGCCUUCUUGAAAAAGCAGCUCCCGAUUAAUCUUGAUCACAUUAUUCUAUGGUCCGAUUCUACAUGUGUGCUAGGAUGGAUCAACAGUCGCAAGGACUUACCUUCCUUUGUCCAGCGUCGAGUCGCUCGGAUACGUAAAUCUGAAGCCGAGUACCGCUACGUUCCUUCGCGAGACAAUCCAGCUGAUCUCCCGUCGCGAGGAACAUCUUCUCACCUCUCCGAAGAGUCCAUCUGGUGGCACGGCCCAGAGUGGUUGCAGAACCCACUCGUUCCAGAACCUGAACAGCCCAAUACGGAAGAAUCGAGGUCUCCGUCCAAAAAAAAAGGAGUUAGUCCACCCUCGGUUUCAUUACAUCCGCUCAAAAAAAAGGGUGUAGUGAUCCUAUUGAAGCUGUCUCUCUUGUUGUUGGGGAAGAUCCUUCGGAACCAUUUGAUCUAAGCGCGUCGGACUUCUCAACAAUGGGUCGACUUGUGCGUGUCACAGCAUGGGCUCAGCGUUUCAUCCGAAACUGCAGAAAAUCAGCAACCAAGAAACUUAAAGAUCAGCUCACUGUUUCCGAACUGUGUAGUGCACGCAACCUGUGGCUGCAGUCAUCCCAGAGAAACCACUGUACCGACGUAGUAUCAGCCAUCCGGGAACAAAGGAAGAACAACACCGUACAGUCUCUUCGUCUCUACAUCGACGACAGAGGACUCAUCCGAAGCCGUGGAAGACUUGAACAUGCGAACCUUCCACCUAGCUCUAAGUUCCCCAUUUUCUUGCCUCAUAACUCAGCUGUAACACGCCUGCUCGUCGAAGAGCAUCACCGCAUCCUCAUGCAUCCUGGAGUGUCGCAUACUCUUGCUAGUAUAAGGGAGAAGUACUGGAUCCCUAAAGGCCGCAGUACCGUAAAGACCAUCCUAAAAAAGUGCAUCACAUGCCGUCGAGCUGAAGGUGGUCCGUUUGACAUGCCAGCAAUGGCUCCAUUACCACCGGAAAGAGUCAACGUAGCAGAAGCAUUCCUAUACACCGGCGUCGACUACUUUGGUCCUCUCUUCGCGAAGACAGCUGAAGCAUCGGUAAAGGUUUGGGUAGCCCUCUUCACAUGCCUAUCAACACGCGCAGUCCAUCUCGAGCUUGUCACGGAUAUGUCUUCAGAGCAAUUUCUACUAGCCUUCCGCCGUUUCGUAUCACGUAGAGGUGUGCCCAGAGCGAUGUGGUCAGACAACGCGCCACAGUUUAAAAUGACGAAGACAACCCUCGACAAGGCUUGGAAGGAGGUGAUCAGCGACCCAGCAGUAGCCGACACCAUCACGGCACGCGGCACCGACUGGCACUUUAGUGUGCAGCACGCCCCUUGGAUGGGUGGAAUUUAUGAGCGAAUGGUAGGGCUUGUGAAACGCGCUCUCCGCAAGACUGUCAGAUCAGCCCACCUGACCCCAGACCAGUUGCGGACAUUUCUUACUGAAGCGGAGGCCGCAGUUAACAGUCGGCCUCUCGUUUACGUGGGGGGAGACACACCUAUGGCUAGCACUGAUGUGAUCACACCUUCCCACUUUCUAUCUUUAAAACCUAAUUUAAUGUUUCCUGAGUUAAUUGAUGAACAGAAUAUCUACCCAGACUUUUUGUGUCGCCUUUCUUCUGCCUCUUCUUUGUUACAGGGGUGGAAGAAAGGCCAAGCCCUCGUCAAGGACUUCUGGACAACUUGGCAACGGGACUACCUGCUAAGUCUCAGAGAGCGCACCAGUGCUGGACGCCACAAGCGAGGCACAGAAACCUACGUACCCAGAGUCGGACAGCCGGUCCUCAUGGGUGACAGCCAACCACGCGGCACGUGGAAGCUAGGCGUAGUCCAAACCAUCCACACGGGGAAGGACAACGUCACUAGGUCUGUGACACUCAGGACCACUACAGGCAAGUCGUUGCAGCGCCCAGUUAGUACCCUGUAUCCACUAGAAUGUGAGUUACCCGAUAGUGUGGAUGUAACAUGUGAGGAUGUACCUUCACCAACCCCAGUACCAUCUCAAGAUGUGCAUACACCUGCUGUUGAUGUAGCGUCCACCAUUAAUACCAGACCGCAGCGCAGAACUGCAACACAGAGCCGGCGUCAAACGGUCGCUCUGAGAGACUCCAAUCUUGUGUAAACACCACUCGUUCGAGUCAGGUUACAAUAACACGGAUGAUUUCUUGCAAUAUGUCAAGCUGAGAACCAAUCUCAGACAAUCCGUUUGCUUUCAGCUCUCCCAUGUAUUCUUGCUAUUUCAGUCAGAUUCUCAGUCGCAGUAUUUCAGUCAUACUGCUUUCUGCUCUCCCAUGUAUUGCUAUUUCAGUCAGAUUCUCAGUCGCAGUAUUUCAGUCAUACUGCUUUCAGCUCUCCCAUGUAUUCUUUGCUAUUUCAGUCAGAUUCUCAGUUGCAGUAUUUCAGUCAUACUGCUUUCAGCUCUUCCAUGUAUUCUUGCUAUUUCAGUCGGAUUCUCAGUCGCAGUAUUUCAGUCUUACUGCUUUCAGCUCAUGCUACGUCAGUGUAGCUUCCGAUCCCCUUUAUAUUAUGGCUAUUUCAGUCUAGGUCUUAGUCAGACUAUUGUCAACUGUACUGCCUACAGUUUCAGCGGCUGUGUGUUCGCUCAAAUUCAGUUUUUUCUUCUUUCGUUCUUACGCUGCCUUCAAGCAGCUCAGCCUAGUUCUCAGUUUUCAGGUGUACUUGCCUACACUUCGAUAAGUAACUUCAGUCCCAAGUCACUUGGACUCAGUGUCAGUACUCGCAAAGUUUUCAGUUACAACCGCUUUGCCUCAGCACAAUUUAGAAUUUCUUUCUUUCAUUUUCUACCUUUGUUGCAUUCACCACAUUUUUUCUCUCUUGCUGUCUCGGGAGUGUCGCGAAUUCGAUAUUAAGUAACAUUCGCGAAUGCUAAAAUAACUCAGUUUGAAUGUUUCACGUAACUUUUCUCCUUUUUUUGUCUAUCGCCAUAUUUGCCAUGGCGAUGUGCAGUGCUGGCAGUUUUUCAUGCGCAUGCUUUGAUCCUUUGGCGAUCAUCUUUUUGCUUGCUGACUACACUCGAGGAGUUUCAGUUUUCUUAUCCUAAUGGUACGUCUGACGACGAUCAAGUCCAAUCCUUGUUGCUCUGUGUCUAAUGUCAGUAACAAUUAAUCCAGUAAUGAUAGAGCUACAAUUGUAGAGCUCUCUCGACUCAGUAUUUUGUGAGUGGCAAUCAGGCCGGGAAAUUCAAACUGUAUUUAUGCCACCACAGCCUGCGCCGAUGGUGCUUGAAACAUCAAGCAUGGUAUGUGGUUCACAGAGCGGGGAGAUGCUCUUGCUGCUAUCUUAUCUGUCCUGUGUAUUCCCAAGUGCCGAAGGCUCACAACGAUGGUGUUGGACAAGUAAGAUAAAAUAGAGUCAACAUCGUCACAUGGUGCUGUGACCAAGAUACGGAUCAUGCCGAACGCUGAUUCAACUGGACGAAUCGAGAGGCUUUUCAGAUGCAGGGACACAAUGGAAACUGAACGACUUCAGAACAGCACUGAAGCGUUAUGUUAUCAUGCAAGACGCCUUUCUGCGCCGCACAAACACAGGCGGUACUACAGCAGAAGAUGUCACUCACUAUUAUGCAGGUGCACUGGUGACAGGCGCAUGCAAGUUCACGAGAAGAAAGCGGUCUGAUGGUAACUGGAAUGCCAGCAGUAUGAGAGGGUGUGCAUUCUGCGGCGGAUCUCACCUGGACAAGAGCUGCGCGAAAUACACAACAGUAGCACAGCGGAAAGAAUAACUGAUGGAACAGAAGCGUUGCUUUGUGUGUUUGCGCACAGGGCGCCGGUCAACUCAGUGCAAGGCCACCCG